UAGGGAAUAUUAGAAAUGGACGAAAGUCUGAUCUAGCAACACCGCGUGUGCGAAGAAGGCCUUCGGGUUGUAAAGCACUUUUUGGAAGGAUUAGGAAUGAAUGUACUUCCUGAAUAAGUCUCGGCUAACUACGUGCCAGCAGCCGCGGUAACACGUAGGAGGCAAACGUUAUCCGGAUUUACUGGGCGUAAAGCGCGUGUAGGUGGUUCUGUAAGUAGGGCGUGAAAGCUCCUGGCUCAACUGGGAGAGGCCGUUCUAAACUGCAGAGCUAGAGGAUGGUAGAGGGAGGUGGAAUUCCGGGUGUAGCGGUGGAAUGCGCAGAUAUCCGGAGGAACACCAGUGGCGAAGGCGACUUACUGGACUGUAACUGACGCUGAGGCGCGAAAGUGUGGGGAGCAAACA
rnacentral:rRNA from 1 species